AUGUCGCUUCGAGCCCCACCUCUGCUGCCACUAACAUGGACAUUGACAAGGCGCCAGGAGACGAAGAAGCCACCUCACGAGUCGGAGAGGAAGAGGAGGAGUGGGAGUGCUGGCAGGAGGAGGCUUGAGGUUCAGAUUCCUCAGUCGACGCCGGCGCUCGAGGCGGCGGUCGAACGCUCCAGAGAGCCUGCUCUGACCAGCGUCACGUUCGCCAGCCCGCUGACGACUGAUCGUCCGGCGGGCUCGACCGCACCGACUCCUGCUGCUCUAGUGCAGCUCCACGCCUCUGACCCAGCAACUACCUUGGUUGCUCUGCAACCAUCACUUUUUGCUAUGUAUCAGACUCCGGAUGACUCGCCGAGUGCCGCUAGGUGUAUGGAUUCUGUUGAGGAUUUUGCUAGACCACACAGUAUGGCCGAUGAAGAAGAGUCAUUCAUGGGAACAACUGAUGAAUCUAAAGCUCCAAAUGCAAAGGGCCCAAUGACUCCCGCAUCAUAUCCCGAUGAAUUGGCCAAGUGCUUGAAAAAUGCAAAAAAAAGAGCCAAGAAGGCUGAAAAGGAUCGGGCAAGAGAAGAAGAAAAUCGUCGUCUCCUAAAAUCAGACGUCAAGAAGAAAAAGGCAGAUAUAAAAUUAGAUCCCAGAUCUGCUGCUCUGAAGAAAAAGAGCGCGCCGAAGAGAAGGGAAGAAGUUGAAGCAACUCUUUCUGAACAAGUGAACAUCACUACAUCCACUGUUCUGCCUGAUCUGCGAGCAAGUGUUGUCCCAAUAGCACCUCCGAAGAACCCACUGAAGAGAAAGACUCCUCCUACCACUAUUACAAUGGUUGAUGAAGUAAACACAAUUCCUCAUCCUGAGGCUAUUGAUUUGCAAGAUUUGGUUGUUGAAGCUCCAGUUAGCACAGCCAAGCCAGGAGAGAAGAUUCUAAAGCCCAAGGUGAAGCAAAUCAAAGCUCCCUCUGCCGAGAAAAAUGAUCCAAGUGUUGUGGUUGUGAAAGAAAAUGCUGCUAAAUUUGCUCCCAAGUUGACUCAACCAUUGGCUUCUAUGUCACCUACCAAGCAAAAUCUUCACACCGCUCGGCCAGUUCCCUCCCAGGAGCCGGUCAUUGGCUUGUGGGAAGUGGCUACCCUCGCCUGCUCGCCGUCCUUCGCCGUCGCCGGUCUCCAUUCGCCAUCCCCUGUUGGCUGCCGCCCUCAGCCCCUCACUGCCGCUCGGUUCAGUGAGGUAACUGGCUUUUGUACUGGUAUAGCCCCAGAUGUGAUUGGGACAUACAACGGCCUUCGUGAUCGAAUAUUUUCUAAUCCAGAUUUGUUCCCCGAGAAGGCUUCUACUAUAGUACCCAACGAAAGAACCCCGUAAAAGGCGCCUCCUCAUCCGUCAUUCUGUCGAGCAACUCAGACGCGCCGCCGUUGCUAUGCUUCUCCGACCCCGCCCCUUCCUCCUGCAGGCCCUCACACCGCUUCCCUUCUCCCGUGGCCCCCUCGCGGUCCGCCGCACGCUCUCAGCGCACGCCGCGGCAGCCGGGGCUGCCCCCCGCGGCGAUGCGCCCGCGCCGGCGCGAACCCGCCACAAGAACUCCCGGAAGGCCGAGCCGCCUAGGGUGCCCAUGGAUACGGCGCUGUUCUUCCCGCCGGGGGUAGACCGGGACGCGGCUGUCGCGGCGGAGAUGUUGAUUCCGGGGUCGAACAUCGUGGUGGGACCGUACGCCGGGGACGCGAGGGUAAAGGAGGCUGAGUUCAUCGGGUGCAGCGCGCACGCCCGGGACUGCCCGAAGGACGACCGCCCUGAGUUCGCCGUCCUCGGCCGCUCCAACGUCGGCAAGUCCUCUCUCAUCAAUACACUCACGCGCCGCAAGGAAGUCGCACUCACCUCCAAGAAGCCUGGGAAGACUCAAACAAUUAACCAUCAUUUGAUUAACAAAAGUUGGUACCUUGUGGAUUUGCCUGGUUACGGGUUUGCAGCUGCGUCCAAGACAGCUCGAACGGAUUGGUCUUCAUUUACCAAGGGGUAUUUCUUGAACAGGGACACUUUGGUCGGUGUACUGCUCCUUGUUGAUGCUAGUGUUCCAACUCAACAAAUUGACCUUGACUGUGCUAACUGGCUUGGUCGUAACAAUGUCGGGCUAACCUUUGUGUUCACCAAGUGUGACAAAGUAAAGAAAGGCAAAGGGGGUCGGCCUGAUGAGAACAUCAAAGUGUUCCUGGAGAACAUUGGCUCGCUCUAUCCAAAGCCUCCUCCAUGGAUCAUGACGAGCAGCACCACAGGACUAGGCCGUGACGGACUGCUCCUCCAUAUGUCGCAGUUGAGGAACUACUGGGACAAUGAGGCAACCUAAGUCCGGGGUUCUUCUACAGGCUCGAGACAGCUGAAGAUAGGAGCAACAGUACUUGCAGAAGAGAGCAGCACAAACCGGUCAUCCUGCCUGACGAACUUCCAGUGUCUGGACUUCACCGACGGAUCGUGCUUUGCAUAGACUUCAGGUUCAGUUUCAUUGUGCUGGCCUCUUGAUGUAUAGUGGAACAUGAUUCACAUACGCAGACUUGAUACAGUAAUACCGCACCCCUUUUGGUCCAUGUUUGUUGUAGUAAUAUUUGGCUCACCUGCGGAAGUAAAGUCUCGUCCACUUGUUACGAUUUCUGAACGCAAUGGGCCGAUCUGGAACUGUACAUUUA